rnacentral:lncRNA from 1 species
CUUAAAUUAAUCGCAUCAACAAAGUCUCUUUGUCUUUGUAAGGUGGCAUACUCACAGGUUCGGGGAUUAGGACAUAAACGUCAUUCAGCCUACUGUACCGGGAGGCGUCACAUUUCCUCAAACCUGGCUCUGAUCCUGGUCUUCAGUCGCCACAGCAGGUUUAAGCUGGGCCGGGGCUCCCAGGGGUCUGAUCUUCUGCAACGCCCCACAGUCAGGCACCUUCUGCUAGAUCCUUCUUCCGCCGCACGACCUGCUCCUGCUCUAAUUUACUGCGCAGCCUGGACAGAGUUGAGCAACUGUGGACAAGAACUCUCAAGUCCCUGCAGAGAACCCAGAAAAUCAUUUCAACCCCAAGGAAUAUCUGGAACACAGAGAAGUGACUGACUCAAAUAUGAUGAAAAUAUAAAGACCCCUUUCACCAAAACAACUACUGCAUGCAGCACGUCACAGCUUACAGUGUCUGAACGUGGAUUUUCUCCUUUGAUCCUUAGGAGGCAAGGAUAAGAUCAUCUCAUGAGUGACACUGUCAGCCUAAUGGAGAACCGGAAGAUGAUUUGCGGCUGUGCAGGAUGCACCAGUGGCUGGGUGACUCCCACUUUUGUAGUCCAUCAGAACGGAACGUCGCUGUUCCCUCGUGACUCUGCACUCUCGUGACUAAGAGUUAGUGGUGUUCUCCAUGAUUUCCAUGUGCCAGUCUUCAAUGAACAAUUCUGAAGCCUUCAAUUUCGCUGUAUAUUGUUCUGUUGAUUCUGGCUGUGUGCAAAUGUUUG